UGACUGCUAUCGGAUUGAUACUAAGCCAUGCGAGUCAUUGUAGUAAUACAAGGCAGACGGCUCAGUAACGCGUAGUCACCUAACCUAUGGACGGGAAUAACCUCGGGAAACUGAGUAUAAUGCCCGAUAGAACAUUAUGCCUGGAAUGGUUUAUGUUCCAAAUGAUUUAUCGCCGUAGGAUGGGACUGCGGCCUAUCAGUUUGUUGGUGAGGUAAUGGCCCACCAAGACUAUUACAGGUACGGGCUCUGAGAGGAGUAGCCCGGAGAUGGGUACUGAGACACGGACCCAGGCCCUAUGGGGCGCAGCAGGCGAGAAAACUUUGCAAUGUGCGAAAGCACGACAAGGUUAAUCCGAGUGGUUUCUGCUAAAGGAACCUUUUGUCGGUCCUAGAAACACCGAUGAAUAAGGGGUGGGCAAGUUCUGGUGUCAGCCGCCCGCGGUAAAACCAGCACCUCAAGUGGUCAGCGAUGAUUAUUGGGCCUAAAGCAUCCCGUAGCACGGCUCUAUAAGGUUUUCGGUUAAAUCUGUACGCUCAACGUACAGGCUGCCGGGAAUACUGCAGAGCUAGGGGAGGUGGGAGAGGUAGACCGUACUCGGUAGGAAGGGGUAAAAUCCUU
rnacentral:rRNA from 1 species